ACUCUGGGAUAUCCCAAAGUGCUUCAAAUUAAAUUUAUAAAAAUCUCCUGGCAGCGGUACACCUAUGUCUCACUACAAUUUACACUUCCCACCACCCCCGCCCGCGCUGGUCCACCCCCAUCCCCAUCGAUUACGUCUACACAUCAACAAUUCUUCCCACGUUUUUUCAUCUCUCGCCUAUAGACAAGUAUAACCGAGAUAAUCAGCGUUCCGGUGGUGGCUCGAGUCAGUGCGCAACUCAGCCAGCCAAAAAUUCAUUCAAUCGUGUGAAACCGCACGGACAGCGAUGCAGAAUUUAUCGGACACUGGUUAGAAUGAAUGCGACGAACGUGUUCGCUUGACGCACCAAAUUAAAAGAGCGACUGUCACGUUUUAACGGUUGAAUAGUAUUUUUUUGCCUGUCAUCGUGGAUAUUUGUUUUCUGAGUGUGUCAUAGUUUUUUUGGUGCUCUUGACAGAAAUUUUUGAAUGAAAUGCGGGGGAAAAGUCUUGGAAAUUUUGGAGUGAAAAAGUCAGGAAUAAAAUGAAAAUGAUGAAAAGUGAUGGGAACAUUUUAAAGAGAAUUCACUGACACUCGUCGAAUGCAAAUGCGUGUGAGAAGGAAAGAGAAAAAAAGUGCAUCUCACAGGAACAAAUGUCGGUCCAGCGGAAAGUUUCAGGCAGCUCUCGUCCAUUUCCGCAGAGCCCGUGGGUUUUUUACACUUCCUCUUCAUCCCGUCUCUUCCGUUCGUUGGAAGCACAUUCACAUCGUGCAUCUCAGCAUCUUUCCACUGUAAUGAAUUAUUAAUUAAAAAUCUCGGAGUUUUUAAUGAAAUCAUAAAGGGGAAGGGUAUUGGGAAAAAAGAGCUCCACCACCUCUGGGUAUUACUUCCGCUACAUUGAACAACUCGGUGGAGACUUGAAAUAAUCGCGGUUAUUAGAGUCAAACCGCGGGGAAGGUCUGCGCACAUCGACAAACCAGUGACCUGGGGACUGAGUUCACCAGUGUGAUGAAAUUUCUCAGAUCCGAGGAGUUGAAUACGUCAUGUCUUAUUUUUAAUGGCAUCACAGCGAGAGAAAAAUUCAAACAAAAUCACAGCUAAAAGAAAUAAAGAUUAUUUUUGGAACGA